GACGAACGCUGGCGGCGCGCCUAACACAUGCAAGUCGAACGGAGCUGAGAGAAGCUUGCUUUUCUUAGCUUAGUGGCGCACGGGUGAGUAACGCGUGAGUAACCUGCCCUGGAGUGGGGGACAACAGUUGGAAACGACUGCUAAUACCGCAUAAGCCCACGAUCCGGCAUCGGAUUGAGGGAAAAGGAUUUAUUCGCUUCAGGAUGGACUCGCGUCCAAUUGGCUAGUUGGUGAGGUAACGGCCCACCAAGGCGACGAUUGGUAGCCGGACUGAGAGGUUGAACGGCCACAUUGGGACUGAGACACGGCCCAGACUCCUACGGGAGGCAGCAGUGGGGGAUAUUGCACGAUGGAGGAAACCCUGAUGCAGCGACGCCGCGUGGAGGAAGAAGGUUUUCGGAUUGUAAACUCCUGUCGUUAGGGACGAUAAUGACGGUACCUAACAAGAAAGCACCGGCUAACUACGUG
rnacentral:rRNA from 1 species